rnacentral:lncRNA from 1 species
UCCAGAGCUAGGAUGGACUCAAUCACUUCUUUUGCUUGAACUUUGGGGAUGAUGAAACCACAAGCUUCGCCCCAAUUGAUAAACGAUUGAUAAGGCAUGACAUUAAGAUGUGUAGAAGGGUCUGAGGGUGAAGGGGCCUCCUUCUUCCUCCGUGAUGCCGGCAAAAGUUUUAUUACGACCACCUUGAUGGAACCUAUGGUCU